UAGAAUGUAGUUCAAUGGUAGAAUAUUAGUUUUGGGAGCUAAUGGUUAUAGGUUCAAAUCCUAUCAUUCUGA
rnacentral:tRNA from 1 species